UAGUCUUAAACUAAUGAGUAGGAAAACAAAGUGCACGGUGGGAGCUUCCCACAGCGCCCACAGUAACAUGCGCAAGAAUUUAUGGAGGGGUGCUAGGCUGGCCAAGUGCUGACACUGCUUACUUUGCAGAACUCGCUUGUACGGGCCUUCCUA